GGGAGAGUCACUCUCUUUUUCUUCUUUUAUUUUUAUCAAAUAAAAACAAGAAGAAAAGAGGAGAAGGAGGAUGACUGUAACCAGGAGCAGAACACAGGCAAGACGCCCUCUUUUCAGCUUCUCAACGACGUAAGCCACUUUAGCAAUACAUACACACAAUAUCUCUUCUUUUUUUAUAGCCUUUUAAACCGUUAAUACGGUCUUAUAGCCUAAAAUAUACACAAAUUAUAUUCUUACUAUAUGAAUAUGAUACACCUAUUAGUAUGAUUACUUCUCCAUCCACCUUUCAUUGCAAAAAUAUAUUAUUAUUUUUCUCAUCAUCAUUAGAAUAAAGGCAGUAAAGUUCUUGUUGGGCUGUAACUGUUGUUUUGUUUUUUUGUAUGUACAUAGACAUACUAUUGAAUAUGUUAAACGAUUCCAAAAAAAUUAAAUUUGAAGGCGAUAUCAAAGGUUAUUUGAUGUAUCCUUUCCUUCUGAUUUCAGUGAUGCAAAUAUUUCAAAUAUUUAUUCGACAGCAACGGAGUAGUUUGAACUUUUCAAAAGACAUAACUACUUCAUUUUCUUCACUUCUUUUUUAAUUUUAUAUCAAUUCUUUGACGACCAAUUUCAGAUAUAUAUGGUUCUAAUGAUAGUUGAAACAUUCAAGUAUCUGAGAAAAUUCUUUAAAAAAUGAUGGAAAAUUAAAAUCUGAUAUUAUUAUCUCUUUCUCAAUACGUACCUACGAUUUGUCAUUGAUGCGUUCUUCUAAAUAAUGAGAGGCUUGUUAACUUCUAAAACUUCUUUUGCUGUUCUAAAAAAACUAAUUGAGUUAUUAUAUUAUUAUUAAAUAUGGGCACAAAUCUACGUAUUGGUAACUAGAUCAUCGGUCGUCUGAUAAUAGUAUUUGAACAACCCAAAAUACAUUUUGGAUAAAUAAAAAAACACUGAAACUGCAUUGGGAAUACUUUGUCACAGAUACAAACAAGUUAUAACGAUUCAUAUACUCAAUUAAGUUGAAAAAGGGGGGCAUUGAAAUUCCCCUUAAUUAAAUAAUGGGGUAUCAUUUUAAUUGAAUUUUUAGUCGUACAUACUUUAGGAGCAUAAACUACAAUGUAUGUAUGUAUCUUCAUGACAAGGAACUAACGAAAAGAUGCAUACAAAUACUUGGCAAAAACAGUUAUGUGUGUAUCAACAUAAUAUCCUCUUUUUUUCAAUUGAUUUGAUCAUUAUUAAUUAAUUAAAAGUUGGAGGUCCCUUUUGAAAUAAUUGUCUGGCUCAAUUAAACAUUUGUGGAAUAUUUUAAAAUAUGACAGAGCAUAUUCCUGAGGUAGAUAUCUAGAAAUUUCUACAACUUCCUUUGAAACAAAAGGACCAAGCCACGCAUGAAUCAUAACUUUAUUUCCAUGAAUUUUUUUUAUUUUUUUUUUAAAUCUAGACUAGUCUUUGAUGAAUAUAGGCUCAAAAAUCUUUACAUUCCUCUCUAUUUAUUAAGCCAUAUAAUAUUUAUAUUUAUGUAGGUAUGUAAUAUUAAAUCACUGAAAACCUUCAUCCUGCAUCAUUAUAUUACAAAUUACUUGAUAUAGAAAAUUGAUAAUUACAUUAAGUCUGAACUAUUAAAUAUUUCACAUAGCCCGGCCAUGGGUCAUCAUCAUCCUUAAAAAUAGUUGACAAAGAAUAACCAUAGCUAGUAAAGGAGAGUUCACGAUCUGAUGUAGGUAAAUAGACUUUUUAACGCAAAUCUUCUCCCUUUUUUUAUUAUUAUUAUUCCUCUGGCGUAAUUUACCUCUGUAACCCCUCCUAGUAGUUUUCACGUAGCCCUAACGCAACCUCUCAUUAAAAAAAAACAAAUGUAAAAAAUAAUGGAAUGUCAAUAUAUGAUAUGAGCAGAUAAAAUAACAAAAAAGACGAUCCUAAGUCCUCAUCGAGUAACUCAAAGAAGUGAAAAACUACAAUUUUCUGUUAGUGGGAUAAAAAGAGGACAAAAUAUGAACAAAGGCUAUUUAACGAAGUGGAGAAUCGACGAACAAUUUUUAUCCAAAUUUAGUUGUCUAUUAUCAACUUAGUUAUUUAUUGACGCACAAACAUUAGCCUAAUAUUAGGCAAGAUUAAUGAUUUCCUCUUCGUUAUGAUCCAGGAUGUGUGAGAAGAAGAGGCAGUUGGCUGUGGUAAGACAAACCACUGAAAGUAUUUGGGGAGGUUGUCAAAGGUUAAGUUGUUUGAAAUUGCGAUGAAAACUGUAAAACUCAGUAGAGUUGGAGCAAUCUGAAAUUUUUAAUAGAACGAUGUUCUUCAUCUCUUCAUAAACCUUCUUUCAUGUUCAAAGAGAACAAAACAGGGUGCAUUACGUAGUUACCCAAAGGACUCGAAUCCUCGAACUUGUAUAUCUAGGACUGUGAGUUCAUACUUCCAAUGUAUCAAGUCAAGUUAUGAAACCCAUAACAACUGGCGUAUAGCCUCUUUAAACAAAUGCUAUGUGUAUUUUUCUAGUAUGAUGCAAUUAUAUUUGAAUAUGUAACAACGUUUGUAAUAAAUAAUAAUGGUAUUCAG
rnacentral:lncRNA from 1 species